rnacentral:lncRNA from 1 species
UUAUUCAUAGAGUGAGUUUAUUGUGAAUUAAGAAUACAGACAGUGUUUUAAUGGUACAUGUGAAGGCUGUCACAUAUGCACUCUGGUUUUCAUUGUGCACUUGAGAGAAGCAUUAAUAUAAACAGAGGAGCAAAUAAUUAUAUACACCUCCUUUCCCAGAAAAUCUCUGAAGCAAUUCCACCAGUGUGGCAGAUCAUUCUAAGCAUUUAACUAACCCAUAAGUAUAUACAUUAAAUUUUUUUUAUCCACAUUUGAAUAAUAUUCUUUGUAAGCAUGUUUUAUUCUGGUAUCUUACAAACAUGAUUUAGUUACAUGUUUUUUGGUCUUGAAAUUAUUCUGUUGGUUUUUGCUGUUUUGUUUUGUUUUGUUUUUUUAAUUAUUUUAAGGCUAAAUAUGACCUGCCACAAUAAUAAAAAAUGAGAAGAGAGGAAAAGGCAAAGUAUUAGACUCUCUACACUAAUAUUUAACUUUUAUUUUAUAUUUUAAAAUGUCUGUGGAAUAUACAUACUACCUUAGCUGAAAUAAAGGAAAAACAUUUUAAUAACAAAGUAAAAGUAGAUCAGAAAUUUCCAAAAUCUAAACAGGUAAGUAUAGUUCUCAUAGUACUUGUUUAGAGCCCAUUCUGGAAAUAAUCUGUAAUCUAAAUAUAACUGAAGUGUUUUGAGAGCCCUUUUUAACAAUUCUUUUGGUAUCCUUGAGCCUUUCAAUGAUUUACUUUCAUGGUUCUGGUAUCUACUCACACUUUGCUAAAACUAUGGGCUCAUCUGCAUGUGUCAUAAUUGUUGCCAUUGGGAUAGAUAUGAGGAAAUUAUUUUUAUUAGUGUACAAUCUAGUACUUCCAUGUACUUGAAAAUUUUAAUGUAGUAAAUUCUGUUCAAGUGUUUUCAUGAACACCAACCUUGGGGUUUAAUUUUCAGUUAGUAGAAAAUUAGGAAAACAUUCUCUUCUGUGGGUGAUUUUGUUUUCAUUGAGGAUUGAGAAAAUACAACCUUCAUUUGGUUGUAUCUCCAACAAUAUUAGAUUUACUGUCUUUUUCUUCCUCCAACAAGAUUAGUUCAGUUCUUGCUGAAGAUGUCACAAUAGAUGAGGCCCCGUCAGUUUCAGCUUUUUCACCCUCUCCUAUUUCUUUAGGUGAUAAGCUUUCUUGUGCAUCAAAAAACACAUCUGGCUUAUCUGUUGGGCUAUCUUCAUCUGAGAGUCUCCCCUCUUUAUGACCCAACUCUUCUUUGUCAACAGACUUAGCCUUUUUGGAGGGAGAUGUGAAACCAAGCUUGGGAAGUCUAAACCAUCCAGUUUUUUCACCCUGCUUAGAGGAAUCAUCUGAUGUUUCAGCAGGUUUCACAUCUUCUGGAACUGAUUUUUUUAUUUCUGCUUUUGAAUCUGUGCUUGCUUCAUCCCCAGAAGAUGAAAAGCCAAUAUUUGGAAGCCAAAAUUUAAAUCUUCCAGGAGAUCUUUUACUAUCGGUCUUUUCUUUCUCAUUGGUUAUGUCUUUUUCUUCACCUUCCACUGCUUCAACUACAUCUUCAUAUUCAGAGAGAGGAGCUGCAGUUAUUCCCUCUGAUUUAUCAAGAAAACUCUCUUCAAGUUUACUGGAACUCUUUACUUCAGCUGAUGUUUUUAACUUUGACAAACUUAAUUUUCCUCUAGAUUCUUCAGACUCACAGUGUGGUUUGUCAGAUAGUUUAAGCUCAGUUCUCUGUGCUGCUACUCCAAAACUUUCAGCUGUAGGUUUUCUCACUGAUGCAUCUCCUGUUGGAGAUGGCUGCUGGACCAGCAUGUCUAAAUCACUGUGGGAUUCAGGCAACUUGGCCUUGAGCAAUGAGAAUCCCAAAGUAGCAGUUUUGACCUCUGCUGACAGAAUCUCUGAUUCUUUCAGUAUUUCAGUGGUGUAAAUCUCACACCGCUCAAUAGCAACAUGUUCAGGUUCUACUUUUUCACUUACUUCUUGGCCCUCUAUAUAAGACCAAUGAAUGUCUUGCCCUGCACUUGAAAGGGAGGACUCAAUGGUAGCUGUCAUUUGUGCUGUUUUAAUGUCAGGUUCAGUCAGUGUUAAAAUUUUGCUUUUUGCUUUUUGAAUACCACCCUCUACAGCUCCUGGUGUUUCUUCAGGGAUAGCAGAGCUUGCUUGCAGUUGCACUAUUUCAAUGUCAGUACUAGAUCCCUUUGGAUCUGUUACAAAUUUUGACAGCAAAACAUCAGCUUCAACUGGGGGAGUUCUGAAAGUGAAUCUUGGUAUUUUUAGUUUAGGAAUUCUUACACUUACUUCUGGGACACCUUGUAUUUGGUCCACUGUUCCCCCUGUUAUUCUGGCAGAUGCUUCUGUAUGAUCUGGACUUUUCAGACCAAUCCAUCCUUCUGGUUUUUGUAACUGCAUUUCUGCUGUGCCUCUUUCACUUUUAGGUGCUGAAUCAGCUUCUGACUUUGGCAAAUCAGUAUCAUCUUCAAAACCCUUGAUUUCGGAACGCAACAUUCCAAAUCUUGGAAUCUUAAACUUGUAUGCUUUAAUUUUACUUAUUUCUGCUCUGUCUUCUACUUGCACUUCCACUCCUGCAGACACAUCCUUUUCAACACUUUUCACUUGAAAUUUCAUUUCAGGAUCUACUCCAGUAAUUUUAACAUCUGUCUUCACUGUUGGAACUUCUACCUUUAGAUCUUCCAGUUUAGCAGUAACGUAAGUACCAUCUUCCAAUCCUUUUGUUGUAGACCAUUCACAUGUAGUCCUUUUUAAUUUACUUUCUUCACUGUCUUUUCCAAUGAUUUUCACCUCACCCUUUAUCUUUCCUUUUUUAAUUGCUGCCUCUUUAUUUUGAGAAUCCAGCUCUUCCUUUGGAAGACUAACAUUUAUUUUCAUCUGUGUUGCAUCCAGAGCAAUUUCAGCUGAUGAUGGUUUGCAUUCUACCCCUGAUGUCUCUAAUUUCAUGGAACUUUCUACCUUUUGGACAUUUAUAUCCUGUGAUUUGCCUUUAUGCUCUGGAAAUGUCAGAGUACACGUAGGAAACCUAUUUGUUGAACUCUUGUCCUUGUCAGUUUCUGAACUUGGGUAUGAUUUAGACAAUUCUGCUGCAGACACUGUGAUUUCUGAAGUAUGUCCUUCAGCACUGCGCUUAACUACAUCUGCGUAACUUUCAGUUUUUUGAAUACUCACUCUACUAUCUGUUCUUUCUGUGGAUAAUGAAAUAUCUCCUUCAAUCUUUGGCAAGCUAACAUUAUAACUCUUCACAGAAUCUCCUAAUUUUUGAAUCCCUUCUUUUCCUAUAGUAAUUUCAGCAACUGCAUGUGGUAAUGAGAAAGUAUUUUCAGGAACACUUGCUUCAGUUUGUACUUUAGCAGAAGGAGUACUUGCCUGAGCUUUUUCCAUACUUCUUUCUAUAUCAGCAUCACUUUUUUUUUCCUUUAAGGAUGACCUGCCAAAUGCAGGUAUUCUGAAUUUUGGCAUUUUAAACCAUCCCUGAUGUUCUUCAGUCUGAACUUCUUCAGCUUUUAUUUCAUGUUCUUUUAGUUGGAUUUCCUUCUCCCCAAGACUCUCAAUCACUCCCUCUGUUUUUGGCUUAGGCACUGACUGGGUGCUUAUGUCUACCUUUGCAUCUUCAAUGCCACCUGUCAGAGUUUGGGGUGUUUUUAUCUUACCAUCAACUAUUCCAGGAUCUGACAUAUCAGAUGUAAGUUCUGAUGCUGGAACUCCCACAGCAAUGUCAGCAAUUUCGUUUGUUGUUCUUAGUUGGGGUAGCUCAGUUUCUAUUUUUGGAGAGCUGAUCUCUGUCACUGGGACUUUCCCUUUUGUUUGGGAGAUUCCAAACUUUGUCUUCUGGAAUUUGGGCAUUUUAGUCUUCCCUUCAGGACCUUCCAAUUUCACUUUUCUUCCAUCCAAAACUGAUGAGGUUUCUGUUAACAUAUCAGGGCUUUUCAAAUCAACUGAAGCUUCUCCUUUGGGGGGCUUAGUACCUGUUUUUUUAAUAUUACCUUCAUUGGUAGAACUUACUUUUAAGUCAACCUGUUGAACACUUCCCUCUGAGGGAGUCAAAGAUGCAUCAAUCUUUCCUGAGCUGACUGUUAUUUCAGUUUCAGAGGCUUCAGUUUCUACUCUGGAAAAGUUCAGAGUGUGGACCGUAGUGUCAGCCAGAUUUAUGCUGAUUUGUGCCCCUUCUUUAAUCCCUUCAGGAUGACUUUUUUCUAUAUCAGGUAUCUUAAUUGAAUCAUUACCCUCUAUUUCUCUUUUAGGAAGAGUAGCAUCAGCUUCAACUCUUGGUGAAUGAGACUGAGAUUUUGGAACCUUGAUCUUGGAGAGUGAAAUUUUAGGCAUGGAAAAUUGAGGCUUUUUAAUGGGGCUUUUUUGUUCAACUUUUCCUGCAGAUAUUUCCAUAUCAAGGUCUGGCCCACUACCUUGAUCAUCAAUUGUAGUAUCUUUUACUUCAGUGUCUAUUCUGCUUGACAUGACAGCAAGUUUUUGGUCUUCCAAAUUUGCUCCAGAAUCAGAUUUAACGCUUGCUUCCUUCUUUGGUGACCAACUGAAGGAUGGAAGUUUGAAUUUGGGCAUUUUAAAAUGUCCUUCUUUCUCUUCUCCAUCUCCAUCUUGCUUUAUUUCCCCUUUGAUCUUUACUGCUGCAUCUGAGUCCUGAAUAUCACUGUCUGUUUUUGGAAUAGGAAUGUCAGCUGAUGGGAGGUGAACAUCAGCCUCUGAUGUCUUACUGUCAGUUUUGGUAAUUUUGGCUUCAGGGCUGUAAGUCCCCAUUUCUGUGCCACAUUCCACCUUCAAGUUGGGUGCUUCAAUAGCUAUGUCAGAUAUUUCUACUGUUGCUUUUAGUUGGGGAACCUUUACUUCUGAUUUGGAUUGGUCAACAUCCUUUUCUGACCCUUUCCCUUUAGAAAGUGCAAUUCCUACCUUUGGCAUUUGGAAUUUAGACAUUUUUGUUUUCCCUUCAGAACCUUCAGCUUUUAUCUCUACAUCACCCACAGCAAUUUCACUUGAUGUUCCUUCAACACUUAUGUCAGGACUCUUCACCUCAAGAGAACCUUCAGGUAUCAUCUUAAUAUCUGAGGUGGAGAGGCUGACAUUAGCAGCAGCUGCUUUCAGUGUCAGCUCAUCUCCUUCACAGGUAGGAACUUUGACCUCACCUGUAGACAUGCUAAUAUCCAUCUCUAUUUUGGGAGCUUUGCCUUCUGGUUUGGAAAAUUCCAAAGUUGGGACUGUAACUUUAGGCACUUUUAUGCCCAGUUCUGCCCCUUCUCCACUACUUCCCUUCUCAGAUUUCAGAACAGAAACACCUUCUAUUUCCUGUUUGGGUCCAGAAACAUCAGUUUCCAGUACAGGCAGAGAGACCUGCACUUUCUGACCCUUAAUUUUAGGGAAUGAGAUCUUUGGCAUGGUAAAUUGAGACUUCUUGGUUUUGGCCUUUUCACCAUCUUUUUCUGUUGCAUCGAAUUCUGCAUGAAGGUAUUGAUUCUCAGGAGUAGGAAAAGUUAAUUCAGAUCCCAUGUCACCAGAUAAGGUAGACAAAGUGGGUCCUUCCAGAUGCUCCUCAACAUGAGAAGGAGCAAUAGCUUCUUUCUUUGGUGACCACCGAAAUGAAGGCAGUUUGAAUUUUGAUGAUUUAAAUUUGUUUUCUUUUUCCUCAGUAUCCUUUUCUCCUGUAACUACUUCCUGUUCUGCCUUGCACUCCAAAUCUGGGCCAUGAAUUUCUGUUUCUAAGUUUGGCAAGGUAACCUCCAUGGAUGAGAGAUUUGGAUCCAUUGCUGGUGUAUCCAGAACAACUUCAAGUGAAGGCUUAUGCAACUUUACACCAAGUUGGGCAUCAGAGAUAUGAGCUGGUUUUUCAAUAUCAGGAUCAGUCAUAUCAGAUGUUAACCUUCCCUUAGAAAUUUCAGAUUCCAUGCUGGAACCAAUGUCACUUUCAGAUGCUUUUCCCUUAGAUCGAAUUCUGAAUUUAGGUUUUCGGAAUUUAGGAAUUUUAACUGUGACCUCUGUGUCAGCCAAAGGUAUUUCAGCAGAUGUGGUUUUGCCCUCUAGCUUAAUACUUCCUUGCUCCUCAGAACCAUCUUCACAUAAAAUUUCAAAAUCUGAAAAAUUUUCAUCAGCAAGAGAUGCUAUUUUUGAUUCUGAUUCUGUUGAAUUCAUUUGGUAUUUAGUAAGAGUAAUAUCCCCCUUUUGUAAUGAGGACUCCAGAUCAAUUUUAGAUGAAGUCACAUCAGAUUUUUUAGAGAAACCAAUGCUAGGAAUUCUGAAUUUGGUACUUUUAGAUACACUCUCUACCUUAAUGUCAGGAAAAGGUUUAGGUUCAAUACUUUCGGAAGGAACAGAAGUUUCCUCUGUUAAAGAAUAACAAAGAGUUUCUGAAACAGAAACAUCACAUCCAGAUUGGCUUUGUGCAUGAGGUUUGAAACUUUUGGAAAGAGAAAUUUUAGGCAUUCUAAAUACAGAAGUUUUAGAUUUACUUAAUUCUCCCUCUUUAAAAAUAGAAGAAUCAAGGGAAACAUCAGAACAGGGAACUUGGAUCUCAGAGUCAGAAAACGUCAUGUCCACAUCAGCCAUUCCUGAUGGUACCGUCACUUGAGGCUCCUGGAGGCUGACAUCCACUUCAGCAGCCACAGUGUCCUUGGUGUCCCUGUUGCUUGACCAGCCAAAGGAAGGCAUGCCGAACUUGGGCAUCUUGAACUUGCCCUCCUUGGCCUUGCCAGCCUCCUUCUCUGGGCCUUUGGCUUCUCCUUCAAGGCUAAGGGUGGCCUCAGGUGCCUGCAGGUCGAUGCUGGCCUUUGGAAGGGUAAUGUCAGGGGAGGGCAGGCUGAUGUCCACCUUGGGAGCUUUGAUGUCAGCUUUGGGCAUCUUGAGGGAGGGCUUCUCCAGAUUCAAGCCGCUGCCAUCC